UACGUAGGGGGCGAGCGUUGUCCGGAUUUAUUGGGCGUAAAGAGCGUGUAGGCGGCCAGGUAGGUCUGCUGUGAAAACUCGAGGCUCAACCUCGAGACGUCGGCGGAAACCAUCUGGCUAGAGUCCGGAAGAGGAGAGUGGAAUUCCUGGUGUAGCGGUGAAAUGCGCAGAUAUCAGGAAGAACACCCGUGGCGAAGGCGGCGCUCUGGGCCGGUACUGACACUGAGGAGCGAAAGCGUGGGUAGCAAACAGG
rnacentral:rRNA from 1 species